AGGACGAACGCUGGCGGCGUGCUUAACACAUGCAAGUCGAGCGGAAAGGCCCUUCGGGGUACUCGAGCGGCGAACGGGUGAGUAACACGUGAGUAAUCUGCCCCUAGCUCUGGGAUAGCUCCGGGAAACCGGGAUUAAUACCGGAUACGACCACCUUAGACAUCUUUUGUGGUGGAAAGAAUUUCGGCUAGGGAUGAGCUCGCGGCCUAUCAGCUUGUUGGUGGGGUAACGCCUACCAAGGCGACGACGGUA
rnacentral:rRNA from 1 species